rnacentral:rRNA from 1 species
GACGAACGCUGGCGGCGUGCUUAACACAUGCAAGUCGAACGAAGAGCGAUGGAAGCUUGCUUCUAUCAAUCUUAGUGGCGAACGGGUGAGUAACGCGUAAUCAACCUGCCCUUCAGAGGGGGACAACAGUUGGAAACGACUGCUAAUACCGCAUACGAUCUAAUCUCGGCAUCGAGGAUAGAUGAAAGGUGGCCUCUACAUGUAAGCUAUCACCGAAGGAGGGGAUUGCGUCUGAUUAGCUAGUUGGUGGGGUAACGGCCCAACAAGGCGAUGAUCAGUAGCCGGUCUGAGAGGAGGAACGGCCACAUUGGGACUGAGACACGGCCCAGACUCCUACGGGAGGCAGCAGUGGGGAAUCUUCCGCAAUGGACGAAAGUCUGACGGAGCAACGCCGCGUGAGUGAUGACGGCCUUCGGGUUGUAAAGCUCUGUUAAUCGGGACGAAAGGCCUUCUUGCGAAUAGUGAGAAGGAUUGACGGUACCGGAAUAGAAAGCCACGGCUAACUACGUG